UAGGGAAUCUUCGGCAAUGGGGGGAACCCUGACCGAGCAACGCCGCGUGAGUGAAGAAGGUUUUCGGAUCGUAAAGCUCUGUUGUUAAGGAAGAACGAGUGUGAGAAUGGAAAGUUCAUACUGUGACGGUACUUAACCAGAAAGGGACGGCUAACUACGUGCCAGCAGCCGCGGUAAUACGUAGGUCCCGAGCGUUGUCCGGAUUUAUUGGGCGUAAAGCGAGCGCAGGCGGUUAGAUAAGUCUGAAGUUAAAGGCAGUGGCUCAACCAUUGUAGGCUUUGGAAACUGUUUAACUUGAGUGCAGAAGGGGAGAGUGGAAUUCCAUGUGUAGCGGUGAAAUGCGUAGAUAUAUGGAGGAACACCGGUGGCGAAAGCGGCUCUCUGGUCUGUAACUGACGCUGAGGCUCGAAAGCGUGGGGAGCGAACAUG
rnacentral:rRNA from 1 species